CACUCCCUGCCUUCAUCCAAUGAGAUGUCUUUCUGUAACACUCUCUUUCUCUUCCAUUUCUUCAGUUUCCUUCUCCACCACCAUAAGAAAAAUCCCAGCUACCUGUUUUUUGUAUUGGUCCUAUAGGAGGAUUCCGAUGGAGCUUUACGUACGCAAUUUUUGGUUGAGUGCUUAGCUGAUUUGAAGAAGAAUUUGAUGAAGAGAGGUUUGAAUUUGGUUACAUGGAAAACCCGAGGAUAUUCUCCCUUCAGCUGCAAAAGGAUUUGGAGCUCAUACAGUUAUAGAUUAUGUUAAUUUUGUUAUAAAUGAUAUUGAAGCUAGAGCAAUUGUCUUGCAAUGAAUUUCUUUCAUGUACUGCACUAUAUGAUUCGUUAAUCAAGCUUUUGAUGAUUGAGUUGAUAUUCAGAUCUAUGCCCCUAAAGAAACUUGUAGCGAGGAGAAACUUGUCAAGAUAGGUUUGCAAGGAGUAUCUCUGCUAUCAGAGGGAUCGACAUCCACCAGUCGAAAUCCUACAAAUGUGAAGCUUGAGCUUACUUAGGGAAGUAUGAUGAUCUCCCAUUUAAUCCGAGUAGUUUACCUGGCAUAUUUACCCAAUUUCGUAAGUCUGCAAUUCGUGGCUGCUUUGAACUUCCACUGUCAAUUUGAUCACUUCCCAGCACCGAUCUUUGCAAAAUUGGGGGAUGCAAAGAUGUUCCUUCGCUUGACCAGCUUGGUGUAAUUCAUGAAGAGGC